GGACAUCCAAUAACACUUGAGCACCGGCCAGUUUUGGAUGGUUUGAAUUACACACAGCAGGAAUGGUCUAAAUAAAGCUCCUCGCUCUUCUGAAGGCCUGAUGCACUGGGUAAAAUUUAACCAGCUGUAUCAGUCAGAUCUAAUCGGUUCUAUCAGGGCAUACCUCCAUUAAACUUUAUCGCUGGACAUCUUAAUCAUUUAUGCUUGUUAGUCUGCCAUGUUAAAUUUCCUUGACAGGGUUUGUUUUACUACAGUAUGGCGAAGGAGGGCUCUCUUGAGGAAUGCAAAUCAGCUCCUGAUGUGGUUCUAAACUGGGUCAUCAUCAGAGAUGUCGUCCAGCGUGAGAGCAUUGGCCUCCUCGGACUCCACCGAGCCGUUCUUUGUCAACUGAGGACGAUACGAAAGGUGAUCUCGGAGCAUGUCUCUGUGGAUUCUCUCCUGCUCCAUGGCGAACUCUCCCAGUGUAUACUGCCGCACGCAGCUG